CAGCGCCGGGGCUGCUGCAGGUGCUGGGCUGGCACCAGAGUGGCACGACCACAGGCUGCUUUGCUGCUCUCCUCCGCUCCCCGUGGGGAAAGCGUCAAGAUUGGUAUUAGAACAGUUUCAACGGUCAGUCUCUCAUAGCUCCUGACUCUCAGUUUUCACGGUUCUCAAUCUAACCAGCUCCCAGAAGAGGUCUCACCUUAUCUCCGGCAGGUGUGGGAAACUCCCAGCAGUGAGAUGCUGUGUAAUGAUGUUAUCACUCUAGCACCUUGUGCUUCAGGAUCCCAGUAACUAUUCACGGCACGUCCAUCGUAACAGGUCAGAAGUUCUCUUCCCUGUUACAGCCCCUACUUAAUAUAUUUAUAUUACUUUUUCACUUAAUAAUUCUAAUAUGUAAAAUAAACACAAUGGAGGGCCCCUUCUUCACUUGGGGCCCUAGGCAUGUGCUUAACUUGCCUAUGCAGUAAUCUAGCCCUGCUGGAGAGGGCUCCUGCCAGCUCUGCACAGGUCCAGCCCCUACCUGCUCCCCCGGGCUGGCCCCUGGACCACUACCACUGCAGCUGCCUCCCCCCACCCUCCGCCACACAUUGCGAGGUCGGGGUGGGAGGGAGACUGGAGGGCCUACCCCUCCACACACCUGUUUCCGAUUUUCUAGCAUCCAUCCCAGUCCUUGCUGGCUGUCCUGCAGGUCAGAGAGCCCCUCAGUCCUAGAGGGGCCCCUCUAGUCCUAUCACCAGUGGCAGCUGCCUAAGGGGACCCUACAGUGCCAGGAGGGCCCCUCCAAUGCUCCAGCUUCUUUCGCAGCCACCACCCCCAUCCUUCUCCCUUCUGUGAUGUGUUCUGUGCCCCACCCCACAGCAGUGUGCUUCCUCCUACCCUCCUGUGACUGUGUGUGUGUGCUCCCUGGCCCCAGC